rnacentral:rRNA from 1 species
UACGGAGGGGGCAAGCGUUGUUCGGAAUUACUGGGCGUAAAGGGCGCGUAGGCGGACAGUUAAGUCAGAGGUGAAAGCCCAGGGCUCAACCCUGGAAUAGCCUUUGAUACUGGCUGUCUUGAGUGCGGGAGAGGUGUGUGGAACUCCGAGUGUAGAGGUGAAAUUCGUAGAUAUUCGGAAGAACACCAGUGGCGAAGGCGACACACUGGCCCGUAACUGACGCUGAGGCGCGAAAGCGUGGGGAGCAAACAGG